rnacentral:rRNA from 1 species
GUGUCAGCAGCCGCGGUAAUACGUAGGAGGCAAGCGUUGUCCGGAGUGACUGGGCGUAAAGCGCACGCAGGCGGUCCACCGCGUUUGAGGUAACAGCUCCCGGCUUCACUGGGAGAGCGCCCCAAAGACGGGUGGACUCAGAGGACCAGAGAGGGACAGAGAAUUCCGGGUGGAGCGGUGAAAUGCGUAGAUAUCCGGAGGAAUACCGAAGGCGAAGGCCCUGUCCUGGCUGGUUCCUGACGCUCAGGUGCGAAAGCUAGGGGAGCGAACGGGAUUAGAAACCCCUGUAGUCC